UCGGGAAUUUUGGGCAAUGGGCGAAAGCCUGACCCAGCAACGCCGCGUGAAGGAUGAAGUAUUUCGGUAUGUAAACUUCGAAAGAAUAGGAAGAAUAAAUGACGGUACUAUUUAUAAGGUCCGGCUAACUACGUGCCAGCAGCCGCGGUAAUACGUAGGGACCAAGCGUUGUUCGGAUUUACUGGGCGUAAAGCGCACGUAGGCGGAUUGUUAAGUCAGAGGUGAAAUCCCGGAGCUCAACUUCGGAACUGCCUUUGAUAUUGGCAAUCUAGAGUCCGGAAGAGGUUAGUGGAAUUCCCAGUGUAGAGGUGAAAUUCGUAGAUAUUGGGAAGAACACCAGUGGCGAAGGCGGCUCACUGGAUCGGUACUGACGCUGAGGUGCGAAAGCGUGGGGAGCAAACAGGAUUAGAUACCCGUGUAGUCCCUGAGCGGGCUGGCAAGGCGCAU
rnacentral:rRNA from 1 species